GUUUUUAUUUUGUGCUCUUUGAUAAGGGCGCAUAACAAAAUGCAAUAAAUGCUUGGAAAAUGCAAAUGACGACACAACGAAAGCUGACUGGCAUACAAAAUUUUGGCAGAUGAAUCAGAAUGCGUAGCAACGCAGAGAACUAGGGAAACAACAAUAUAAGAGUGGUUUUGGCCACAAACUGUGCAAUCAGCUUUCAAGUCGCAAAUUAUGAAUUGCAUUUAAGAGCAAGCAAAUAAACAACUUUAAGAAGACCAACUUAAACACCAGCAUAAAAUAAGUGAUAAAAACGCUGUUAAUUUUAAACUUUCAAAAAUUCAGUUUAAUUUCAAAAUAUUUGCGAUUGUUUCCAAAUUGAAUAGCAAUAUUAAGCAGUUGCGUGAAUAGAACUGGCAAUUUUUCAUCCUCAGUGACUUGACAGACUCGUGGCGGCAAGCAAAUAUAUUUUCCAGUUAAAAAGUUGUCAACAGAUUUUAAUACAAUGACAACACAGCAAACAUUUUGAAAAAAUGUGUAUAUAUAUUUUAUUCAUUAUUUAUUUACAAAUAUGUAAUUCAGUUAAACGCUAAACGCUCCAUGGGGGAGAAGACAUAAACAAAUCCAAUGACUUGUUGGUCAUGCAACAGCCCAGUGACUUAGAGAUAUAAUUUUUAUAAGCAAGUGCAGGAGAGACAAUUCAACAUGAACCGUUGAUAGCCCAAAUGCACUAAAACAGGUACAAACUACAUAAACCAAAUCAAAUUGGCAAUAAUAAAUUUUUUUCCACGUGAAUCUAUUGCUGUCCUUACGAACUGCCCAGUUUAAUGACCAACAGGUAUGGAAGUCAACAUUUCACACUUCACACUCCAUGGAAUGCGCACAAAAGCAUGCAACAAAACUUUGGCAAAAAACGCAGCCAAAAAAAAAAAAUUACCGCAAUAGUACAAUCAUAAUGUAUUUAUAUAAACAUAACAAAUAAGAGAAAUAUAAAAUAACAAGCAAUAGCCCAGUGAAGUUUUCAACACAGAACAUUUAUUUAGUUUAAUUGCUGUCACACUUGUCAUAUCCACUAGCUUUGGGGAAAAUUGUCAGAACGAUAGUGAAAUUGGAAUAUUCAAGAGUUCAGAAUUGCCAAAGACAAUUGGUUAUAGUAUAGAAGCAAACGAAAAACGCAAUAACGCAGUAUACUGCAAUAUACUGCAAUAUACUGCAAUAAGUAAAUCAAAGUAUACGCUUACCGCGUAUGAACGCCAAAGGAUACAAUUGGAUAUUGAAGAAAUUCGAUAGAUUUUUUGUUUAAUUAAAAAGGAAAUUUUUUGAUUUAUACUUAAAUAAAAGUAAACUUGCUAAUGCAUUUCAACAAUUUGUCAGAUGAAACUUAACAAAUUGUGAAAAUAAUAUUGUAAUAAGUAGUAAAACGAAUGAAAAUAUAAUGAACAUUAUCCACAUACAUAUGUAUGUAUGUACAUAUAUAUUACAUAUAUGUAUACAGAGACUGCAAACAAAUGUGAUCAGAUAUUUUAAUAGUUUAUAUGUAAAUAAAAAUUAACAGAGAUAAUAAUGAAACAUAAUACAAAUAAGACCAAAAGAGAAAACUCAUCAUCAAAUUGGUAAACCUAACACACAACGUGCAUUUAAUUGUACGAACAAAUAUUUAUUGAAAUAGUAAAACGAAUGGAGAUGUUGAUUCUAACAAAACAACCAAAUCAAAAAAAAAACAAAAACAAAAACAUACGAGUACAUGUAAACUAAGUCAAUAUUAACAUAUAAGCAAACCGAUUAAAAGCGUUGAUUUUUUUUAUAUUUUACAAUAGCAUAUCACAGGAAUGGCGCUCAUUCAAACAGAUAAAUUGAGCACCAAAUUUACCAACUCAUUUUACAAUAGCUAAUGGCGUAUCGCAUGCCUCCGAGUCCCGUAGCGAACACUGCAGUCAGUGAUCGUUUCGAGACUCUGCCGUAUGCAUCGUCCAAUGAAACCAAAGUGAUUGAAGCUGGCUGCAGACCCCCUGUUAGAUAUUUUAGUGUGUUACAUAGGUGUGGUACUUGCCAGCUAACAAAUCAAUUAUUACAACCGUCAUAUUAUUUUUACAUGAAUUUAAGUUCAAUUAAUACAACAACAAGCGAUUAUGUUAAAAAUGUUAAUGCAAUCGUUACCUUAAGUUAAAAAAAAAGAAGAAAUUAUGUUAAUAUUGAAAUAAGUUUCGGAACAGAUAGAGAGAUAAAUAAAUGCUGUUUGAGAUUCGUUGAGAUUUAUCACGAGAAAUUUCCCUUCUUCCUUCGUAUAUAUGUAUAAUAUGUACAUUUAACUGAUUCAAAACACAUUUACCUACAUUUCGUAGUAGUUAAACUCCAAUUAACUACAUAUACAUACGUAUACAUGGAUGUACAAACUUCCGGUGAUUUCAAAUAGUAACUCUAUGUGAAACCACCAAAUUCUUUGCAUUUCCAUUGCUAAGGACAUUUAUCUACAUAACUAAAAAAAUUGCCAGAAUACCAUCAAUUUUUGAAAAUAAAAUAACCAACAGCAUUUGAUCGCAAAUCAAAUAUAACGAGUCAAAUAAUUGCAUAUGAUUAUUAUUUGCAUAUAAUAUUAUAAUAUAAUUUCAAGUUUAUAUUAGUUCGAACAACAAAACUAUUGGCCCUUAAUGGUUUUUCAUUUCCAAUAUUGAAUGUUUUAAACACAAAUCAAUUAAUUAUUUCCAACAAUAGUGCCAAAAUAUUUCUAACAAGAAAAUUAUUAUAAAAUAAGCAUUUUUAUAAGGUUAAUGUGUAGUUAAAGAAAUUACAAAAACAAAUCAAAGGCAACGCAUUAAAACGAGCUAAUGAAAGAGAAAUUAAUAUAAAAAAAGC